ACGAACGCUGGCGGCGUGCCUAAUACAUGCAAGUCGAGCGAGCUUGCCUAGAUGAAUUUGGUGCUUGCCCCAGAUGAAACUAGAUACAAGCGAGCGGCGGACGGGUGAGUAACACGUGGGUAACCUGCCCAAGAGACUGGGAUAACACCUGGAAACAGAUGCUAAUACCGGAUAACAACACUAGACGCAUGUCUAGAGUUUAAAAGAUGGUUCUGCUAUCACUCUUGGAUGGACCUGCGGUGCAUUAGCUAGUUGGUAAGGCAACGGCUUACCAAGGCAAUGAUGCAUAGCCGAGUUGAGAGACUGAUCGGCCACAUUGGGACUGAGACACGGCCCAAACUCCUACGGGAGGCAGCAGUAGGGAAUCUUCCACAAUGGACGCAAGUCUGAUGGAGCAACGCCGCGUGAGUGAAGAAGGGUUUCGGCUCGUAAAGCUCUGUUGGUAGUGAAGAAAGAUAGAGGUAGUAACUGGCCUUUAUUUGACGGUAAUUACUUAGAAAGUCACGGCUAACUACGUG
rnacentral:rRNA from 1 species